rnacentral:rRNA from 1 species
GACGAACGUUGGCGGCGUGCUUAAUACAUGCAAGUCAACUGAAGCAGUGGUAGCAAUAUCGCUGUGGAGGUGGCGCACGGGUGAGUAACACGUAGGUAAUCUGCCUUCAGGUCUGGCAUAACUCCGGGAAACCGGGGCUAAUAGCAGAUGAUGCAGCGGCUCGACAUCGAGACAGUUGUUAAAGCUAUGGCGCCUGAAGAUGAGCCUGCGUCUGAUUAGCUAGUUGGCGGGGUAACGGCCCACCAAGGCAACGAUCAGUAGCUGGUCUGAGAGGAUGAUCAGCCACACUGGAACUGAGACACGGUCCAGACUCCUACGGGAGGCAGCAGUAAGGAAUAUUGCUCAAUGGGAGAAAUCCUGAAGCAGCAACGCCGCGUGAGGGACGAAGGGCUUUUGCUUGUAAACCUCUGUAGUGAGAGAAAAAAAUCCCAAUCUUUGGCACAUGGUGGUAUCUCAAAAGUAAGCCCCGGCUAACUACGUG